GCUCUUAUAUCUUUCUGAAAAGUUACUUGCAACUUAGUUUUGUCUUAUUUAAAUGUACUAAGAUAUCCGCACUAGAAUCUAGACCAGAUAUACUUGGUGAGAUUUUGUGUU